GCAGCCGCGGUAAUACGGAGGAUGCGAGCGUUAUCCGGAUUUAUUGGGUUUAAAGGGUGCGUAGGCGGUUUAUUAAGUCAGCGGUUAAAUGUCGGGGCUCAACCCCGGCCUGCCGUUGAAACUGAUAAUCUAGAGUUGCAGCGGAGCAUGCGGAAUGCGCAGUGUAGCGGUGAAAUGCAUAGAUAUUGCGCAGAACUCCGAUCGCGAAGGCAGCGUGCUAGUUGCAUACUGACGCUGAGGCACGAAAGCGCGGGUAUCGAACAGGAUUAGAUACCCC
rnacentral:rRNA from 1 species